ACUUCAAGUCUUCAAGUCUGUUCAUCCACGGUGUAGCUAGUGCAGCUAAUUAAUAGUUACCCUACAAGUCCUGCAGUCCUGUGAAGCAAGCUGCAGCAGAUGUCAUCACAUUCAGAUCAUCAGUUCAUCUCUACUGCAGCUUUAAACUGUCCCUGAGGUAACGGUGUAUUUCCUUGCCCCAUAACAAUAACCAUGUUUGACAAACAUAGAAAAGCACAGUAUUACUGUUAGCACAGGAUUACAGAGUUAAAGUGAAGAGGAUUUUGUUUGUUUUUUUCAGACCUCUCCUCCUCCUGCCUCUGACUCCAGUGAUGCUGUCAACUCGAACACUGAUAACUGCACACGGCGAUUCUACAACCACAGGUCAAAGGUCAAAACAUUACCUCACUCUAAACCUUCACUCUGAACUGUACCGGCCUCUGCUUUUGGUUUUGAAAAAAACUGCCCAGACAGAACACAGUACUCACUUCAGGAACUGACUGAUUGUCUUCAGGACAGGACAACUAUUACUCUUAUAUUGUUUUGAAUCCUCUUUUCUACAUGAAGUGAUCGGUUCUCGAUAUCUGUUAAUAUUUUAAGUUUCCUUUAUGUUUCUUGGACUUUAUUUGUUCUAUUUUAUUUUAGUAUUUUCUUCCCCUUUUACUGUGUAUCUGUCCUUAUAUCAAAAGAUGACCAACACUGAUGAAGGGAAAAAAUACCACUUACUUCAGUUGUUGCAGGCAGCUGAAUUUCUCAUUUUAAUAUGCUCACCAUAUCCCUCAAAUUUACCUACAAGAGAAGACGUGUUUUUAGAAAUAAAUGAUUUACUUGGGGUUUCAGCUGGUACGUACACUGCAGGUUUUUCACGUGUGCUUAGUCUUGGGCUAAUGUCUUGGACAGCAGUGAUCCCAGCAUUACAGUGUGAAACAAUCCCUGCUGAAGGUUGUCGUCACAAUCAUCAAACACAGGGCUUGGUUAAACAAGCUGUGUGAAUGGAUUUCAUAGAGGAACAAAGUUUUUAUGCUUAUCCUUAAAAUGUCAUUCUCCAUAGUACAUAACUUUUUAAAAAUAAACUAUCAACAUGAAGACAACCCAGCAUUUCAGUAAGACAAGUAGUGUGAAUGUUUGGAUAAGAAAACACUGGGAUCUAAAAUGCUGACCAGAUUGUCAGUCCACUGCAAUGAGCUGAUGACAGUACUAGCCUUGGUCUAAGUACUGUGAAAAGCCUUUUGGGUGGUAAGGUGGACCAAUAGAUGCUAUAAAAAAUACUUCAGUGCCAUAUUUAAGUUGUUAACCUUUCACCUUUGCCUGUAUAUUUCCGUACGCCUGAAUGACUUUGCAUCUUUUGCAUUUGCAUUGUUUACCUUACCCUCCACAUUAUAUUUCAUUUUUCAUUUACAUUUAAUUGAAAAACAAUUAUUUUAAUUUCUGUAAAAUACUUCUGUACCACACUGUACAGUAAACUGCUGAGUUAUUUUUCCAAACAAAAGUGCUGACCAGAUUGUCACUCCACUACAAUGAGCUGAUGACAGUAUUAGCCUUGGUCUACUGUGAAAAGCCUUUUGGUGGUAAGGUGGACCAAUACAUUACAUCAAUUUAUUUCAAGUUCUCAGAUCUACUUUUUAAUCUGAUUAUUUUAGAUUUUGUUUAAAGUUUCAGUUUCACAUCAUUUAAUUUUAUUUAUUAUUAUAAUUAUUUAUUAUUCUAUAAUUUUCUUUUUUUUCUACAUGAGAGGGCCCACAUUUCACUGCAGUUAGCUUUAAAAAAUACUAUAAUGCCAUAUUUAAUUCAAAAGCCUUUCACCUUACUUUGCCUGUAUAUUUGCACAAGCCUGGAUAACUUUUAAUUAUUUCCAUUUGCAUUCUUUACCUUACCCUUCACAUUAUUUUACAUUUUUAUUCACAUUUCAUUUAUUUUUUAAAUUUUAACUUCUCUGAAACAAUUCUGUACUACACUUUACAGUAAACUGCUGGGUUAUUUUUGCAUACUAUUCCUCAUGUUCCAUUCUAUACUUUUUGUGAUUCACAUUUAUGUUGUUAUACUGCUGACCGAUUGUAAUAACUACUUUUUUUUAUAACUCUCAAGUCACCACUUUCAUAUAUCUUUUUUAAUGUAUAGGUAUAAAGGUUUUUCAGAUGUACAAACUUAGUCUUAGGCUAAUCUAAACCCUUAAAAACACGCAUAACAGUCCUGUAUCAGACUUUGAAAUCAAAUGUCAAGGUCUGUUUUUAAAGCCCACAACACAGGACUUGGCUUAAUGGGCCAUGACAAAUUUUAUGAGCCAACUUUUGUUAAGGCUUAGUAAUCUGAAAACACAAGAAAAGAGGUGAAUGUGGGUACAGGGCUGCUGGAGUUUGAAUCCAGUAAAUAAUGGGGUGUUAGCCUCAGUCUAACAACUGUGUGAAGAGCCUUUAAUGAUUGGGCUAAACAAUUUUACAAACAACUGAAAAUGUGAUAACUUUAUCCAUCAACAAUCACAGCAACAACAAUCUUAAAACCUUAAGCUUAAGAGACAGAUUGGUCACCCAUGUAAAGAUUUCUGCUUCCAAAACCUCUUCACAAACAAAUUGUUUAUAAUUUCAUUUAAGCCACUAUGGAAC